rnacentral:rRNA from 1 species
GACGAACGCUGGCGGCGUGCCUAAUACAUGCAAGUCGAACGCAGUGGGGACGGGUGAGUAACACGUGGGUAACCUCCCAUCAGAGGGGAUAACACUUGGAAACAGGUGCUAAACCGAUACUGAUGGAUGGACCCGCGGUGCAUUAGCUAGUUGGUGAGGUAACGGCGCACCAAGGCCACGAUGCAUAGCCGACCUAGUAGGGUGAUCGGCCAAACUGGGACUGAGACACGGCCCAGACUCCUUCGGGGGGUCGCAGUAGGGAAUCUGCGGAAAUGGACGAAAGUCUGACCGAGCAACGCCGCGUGAGUGAAGAAGGUUUUCGGGUCGUAAAACUCUGUUGUUAGAGAAGCGGUAUCUAACCAGAAAGCCACGGCUAACUACGUGCCAGCAGCCGCGGUGAUUC